UACGUAGGGUGCAAGCGUUAAUCGGAAUUACUGGGCGUAAAGGGUGCGUAGGCGGUUGUUUAAGUCUGUCGUGAAAUCCCCGGGUUCAACCUGGGAAUGGCGAUGGAUACUGGGCAGCUAGAGUGUGUCAGAGGAUGGUGGAAUUCCCGGUGUAGCGGUGAAAUGCGUAGAGAUCGGGAGGAACAUCAGUGGCGAAGGCGGCCACCUGGGACAACACUGACGCUGAAGCACGAAAGCGUGGGGAGCAAACAGG
rnacentral:rRNA from 1 species